GACGAACGCUGGCGGCGUGCUUAACACAUGCAAGUCGAACGGAAAGGCCCUGCUUUUGUGGGGUGCUCGAGUGGCGAACGGGUGAGUAACACGUGAGUAACCUGCCCUUGACUUUGGGAUAACUUCAGGAAACUGGGGCUAAUACCGGAUAGGAGCUCCUGCUGCAUGGUGGGGGUUGGAAAGUUUCGGCGGUUGGGGAUGGACUCGCGGCUUAUCAGCUUGUUUGUGGGGUAGUGGCUUACCAAGGCUUUGACGUGUAGCCGGCCUGAGAGGGUGACCGGCCACCUUGGGACUGGGAUACGGCCCAGACUCCUACGGGAGGCAGCAGUGGGGAAUAUUGCACAAGGGGAGGAAGCCUGAUGCAGCAACGCCGCGUGCGUGAUGACGGCCUUCGGGUUGUAAACCGCUUUCGCCUGUGACGAAGCGUGAGUGACGGUACUGGGUAAAGAAUCACCGGCUAACUCCGUG
rnacentral:rRNA from 1 species